rnacentral:tRNA from 1 species
GGCCCAUUAGCUCAGUUGGUCAGAGCGUCGCGCUAAUGACGCGAAGGUCGUGGGUUCGAUCCCCUCAUGGGCCA